GACGAACGCUGGCGGCGUGCCUAAUACAUGCAAGUAGAACGCUGAAGAGAGGAGCUUGCUCUUCUUGGAUGAGUUGCGAACGGGUGAGUAACGCGUAGGUAACCUGCCUUGUAGCGGGGGAUAACUAUUGGAAACGAUAGCUAAUACCGCAUAACAAUGGAUGACACGUGUCAUUUAUUUGAAAGGGGCAAUUGCUCCACUACAAGAUGGACCUGCGUUGUAUUAGCUAGUAGGUGAGGUAACGGCUCACCUAGGCGACGAUACAUAGCCGACCUGAGAGGGUGAUCGGCCACACUGGGACUGAGACACGGCCCAGACUCCUACGGGAGGCAGCAGUAGGGAAUCUUCGGCAAUGGGGGCAACCCUGACCGAGCAACGCCGCGUGAGUGAAGAAGGUUUUCGGAUCGUAAAGCUCUGUUGUAAGUCAAGAACGAGUGUGAGAGUGGAAAGUUCACACUGUGACGGUAGCUUACCAGAAAGGGACGGCUAACUACGUG
rnacentral:rRNA from 1 species